rnacentral:rRNA from 1 species
UACGGAGGGAGCAAGCGUUACUCGGAAUUAUUGGGCGUAAAGGGCGCGUAGGCGAUUUGAAAAGUCUUGUGUGAAAGCCCCGGGCUUAACCCGGGAAGUGCACAAGAAACUGUUGAAUUUGAGUUCCGGAGAGGAAGGCAGAAUUCCCGGUGUAGCGGUGAAAUGCGUAGAUAUCGGGAGGAAUACCAGUGGCGAAGGCGGCCUUCUGGACGGAUACUGACGCUGAGGCGCGAAAGCCAGGGGAGCAAACGGG